rnacentral:lncRNA from 1 species
GACAUAUAUUUCACAUGUAUGAACUGUGCAUAUACAUAUAUAUGUAUAUAUAUAUAUAUACAUACAAUUAUGGAUUAAUAUAAUAGAGUCUAUGCUAAAAAGGGUUCACACUAGGUGCUAUGUAAGUAAGGCUCAAAGAAAACUGUGAAAAAAUAAGAUCUGACAGUGAACUAGGCAUUAGUCAAAUCUAAAAGAGCAGAAGAUCUCAGCAGUGAAGAGAGACACUGUAAGAGAACUAGACACCUUCCAUUCACUGGACUAGCAAGUCAGAAUUAUUACUGUGAGAGGUGGCAAAUGUAUUAGGGCAUGUUUAUAUCCAUGCAUCUCUCUCUCCCCUUUUAUAUAUAAUAUUAUAUUAUGUAUGAACACACAUAAGAGUGAGGAUGUAAAAUAUCACAUGUGCGGUUAGCUGGAGGCUGAAUCAUGAACAAUCCAAUGUGGGACACUCAGGAGUCUGGCUGGAAUCUUGAACAUUAUUCAGUUGGAAGAGGUGCUGAUGGGUUUCAGCUGCGGAUGGAGCACCAACUACAUGACAGUGAUCGUAUGAGAUCUGGAGAUAACAGUGACGAACAUGACAGGCAUGGGCCCUGCUCUCAAGAUUUCUACAUGUCUGCG